AUGACGGCGUCAACACGGCGAACCACACCCGAGUUAGCUGCACGGCGUCAGAACAAACCACGUCAAGAGGUUCAAAACAAAGAAACCGAAAGUCCACUUUCAAGUGAGCAGAAAAACAAUAUUUUCCAGACCGCAUACAAAGAGACUCUGAAAUGCAAGUCAUCGCAGCCUUGUGGGUACGGAUACAUGGCCAAACCUUCAACUGGUUCUCAAAGGUUCCGUAUCCUGGUUGAAGAGCAAGCUCGUGCUACAGCAGCCACCCAGCAGCAAAACUCUGAGCUCAGCCAGCAGGUCAACGAAUUACAAGAUCAACUACAAGCUGAACGUGCAAACACACAAGAGAGGAUUAACUUGGAGUGUACUGAGAGAGAACAACUUGAGGAGAGGUUAAAAGAAGAGCAUGCUGAAAGGGAAAGAUUGUUGGAAGAGGAGCGAACAUCAAGACCGGAAUUUGAAAAAAACAUGAUGACAAAGUUUGUAGCAUUGAGCCAACAGAUGGGAACCCAACAGGUGCCUAAGGAUUGA
rnacentral:rRNA from 1 species